ACGCUUCUUUCCUCCCGAGUGCUUGCACUCAAUUGGAAAGAGGAGUGGCGGACGGGUGAGUAACACGUGGGUAACCUACCCAUCAGAGGGGGAUAACACUUGGAAACAGGUGCUAAUACCGCAUAACAGUUUAUGCCGCAUGGCAUAAGAGUGAAAGGCGCUUUCGGGUGUCGCUGAUGGAUGGACCCGCGGUGCAUUAGCUAGUUGGUGAGGUAACGGCUCACCAAGGCCACGAUGCAUAGCCGACCUGAGAGGGUGAUCGGCCACACUGGGACUGAGACACGGCCCAGACUCCUACGGGAGGCAGCAGUAGGGAAUCUUCGGCAAUGGACGAAAGUCUGACCGAGCAACGCCGCGUGAGUGAAGAAGGUUUUCGGAUCGUAAAACUCUGUUGUUAGAGAAGAACAAGGACGUUAGUAACUGAACGUCCCCUGACGGUAUCUAACCAGAAAGCCACGGCUAACUACGUGCCAGCAGCCGCGGUAAUACGUAGGUGGCAAGCGUUGUCCGGAUUUAUUGGGCGUAAAGCGAGCGCAGGCGGUUUCUUAAGUCUGAUGUGAAAGCCCCCGGCUCAACCGGGGAGGGUCAUUGGAAACUGGGAGACUUGAGUGCAGAAGAGGAGAGUGGAAUUCCAUGUGUAGCGGUGAAAUGCGUAGAUAUAUGGAGGAACACCAGUGGC
rnacentral:rRNA from 1 species